rnacentral:rRNA from 1 species
UAAGCCUGUGAAGGUGUGUCGUGAGGCAUGCUGGAGGUAUCAGAAGUGCGAAUGCUGACAUAAGUAACGAUAAAGCGGGUGAAAAGCCCGCUCGCCGGAAGACCAAGGGUUCCUGUCCAACGUUAAUCGGGGCAGGGUGAGUCGACCCCUAAGGCGAGGCCGAAAGGCGUAGUCGAUGGGAAACGGGUUAAUAUUCCCGUACUUGGUGUUACUGCGAAGGGGGGACGGAGAAGGCUAUGUUGGCCGGGCGACGGUUGUCCCGGUUUAAGCGUGUAGGUGUGUGUUCCAGGUAAAUCCGGUUCACUUUAACACUGAGGCGUGACGACGAGGCACUACGGUGCUGAAGCAACAAAUGCCCUGCUUCCAGGAAAAGCCUCUAAGCAUCAGGUAACAUCAAAUCGUACCCCAAACCGACACAGGUGGUCAGGUAGAGAAUACCAAGGCGCUUGAGAGAACUCGGGUGAAGGAACUAGGCAAAAUGGUGCCGUAACUUCGGGAGAAGGCACGCUGACACGUAGGUGAAGUGAUUUACUCAUGGAGCUGAAGUCAGUCGAAGAUACCAGCUGGCUGCAACUGUUUAUUAAAAACACAGCACUGUGCAAACACGAAAGUGGACGUAUACGGUGUGACGCCUGCCCGGUGCCGGAAGGUUAAUUGAUGGGGUCAGCGCAAGCGAAGCUCCUGAUCGAAGCCCCGGUAAACGGCGGCCGUAACUAUAACGGUCCUAAGGUAGCGAAAUUCCUUGUCGGGUAAGUUCCGACCUGCACGAAUGGCGUAAUGAUGGCCAGGCUGUCUCCACCCGAGACUCAGUGAAAUUGAACUCGCUGUGAAGAUGCAGUGUACCCGCGGCAAGACGGAAAGACCCCGUGAACCUUUACUAUAGCUUGACACUGAACAUUGAGCCUUGAUGUGUAGGAUAGGUGGGAGGCUUUGAAGUGUGGACGCCAGUCUGCAUGGAGCCGACCUUGAAAUACCACCCUUUAAUGUUUGAUGUUCUAACGUGGACCCGUGAUCCGGGUUGCGGACAGUGUCUGGUGGGUAGUUUGACUGGGGCGGUCUCCUCCUAAAGAGUAACGGAGGAGCACGAAGGUUGGCUAAUCCUGGUCGGACAUCAGGAGGUUAGUGCAAUGGCAUAAGCC